UCCCUCCAUGGGGGUCAUGGUGGUGGAACUGUAGAACCAGCACGGUUACAACCACAGACAAGCCCACAAUCAUCAUGGUGCUGGCGAAGUACUGAGCUGAAGAGGAAUGGAAACGCAUCGUGAGAUCUUUUCUCCAGAGUCAGCAGGAAGCAGGAAGACCAGCAAGGCCAGACCAGAGAUGAGCACACAGGGGAUGAGCAGGUUGAGGCCGUAGUAUAGAGUCCUGCGGCGCAUCGUGACCGUGAACGUCACAUCGGGGUCCCACUCUCCGUUGGGUAUGUAGGUAGAGAUGUCCACAUCCAUCAUCUGCAGAUCCACCAGCCAGCCGUUGUGGGUCCAGGAGCCAAAUUUUAGGUCACACUUCUGCACAUCGAAUGGGAACCAUCGUACAUCAAUGUAGCAGAUCAGUCCACUCCCUGCACUUUGUACCGCCUGCAGAUGACAUUCAAGUACAGGAAGUUCUGAACAAUUUGUACCUCUGAGUCCGAGAAAGGAGGCAAACAUCCUUCAAGACAUGAUUGCUUUGACAGAGGCGUGACUGUACCAGGUGCGCAGACGACUGCUAGUUUGCUGAGACGACUUAUUCGAGAGCAUGUUCGAGUACGGAGUCUGUGUUAUUAGACAAGACCUAUGUUGCAGCUGGGGCAGCUUUCUGAGAGCUGCAUAUUUAUCCUUACAGUGUCCCACAUGUGAUGCUUUAUGUCUGCACUUCAGUGGUUAUGCAAUGUUGUUUCUCCUCCCCGCUCUUGGUUUUCUUCUGUUUUUUGUAAUGUGUGCUCCAUGUUAGUAGUUUCACUUGUAUUUCAAAGCCUUUUAUGUACAGCAUCUGCUCAUAGAUAACACUCAUACUGCCACUGAUCAGCUAAUAUGUAAUUUAUAAUAAUGCUAUGCCUUGUAAAUGAUGACAUUAACCAGUAAUUGUCUUCAGAAGUACAUAUUCAGUUCAAGCUGUCAAAUUUUAGAGGUAGAACACUUGUGAUUUUAGAAAAGUUUCUGAUGACCUCUACAGCUUUUCCUUCUCACCUUGCUGCACUGAGGCAGAAUUACACUAUCAGGUUUGUCAGUAGAAUGGCAUGUGAAAGGCUGAGCGUGAGAGUGACUCUUUUUCGUGUUCCGCGCUGCAACAGUCGCCCUCAAAGCUACAGAAUGAUGGCAGUAAUCUUUAAAGUCUUCUUCAAAACCUCAGUGACCUCUUUUGACUGGAUGGGUCACGCUGUCAGCCAAGUACACAUUGUUUCUAGGGAAUCUUUCACAACAAAGAAAUCUGUAAUAAGAAGAGAGGAUGAAGUGAGUCUGAGCCUAAUGUCAAGGAAUCAUUUACUAAUCAGUUUGUCUCUCCAUACAUUCCUUCAUGCAUAUUUUAUAUAAACUUAUAUGAUUCAGUAUGAUGAACUAUAUUUGUCUGUCAUACGCAGUUAAGAGGUUAUAUGAAUGAAAGAAAUCAGUCCAGUUUUUCUACAUCCUUUAAAAUUCUUAAUAGCAAUACUAUUUUAUUAUUAAUUGCUGUAAAACACAGAUUAAAUAUUUUAAAAGUCACACAGGCAGCAGAAGAGUUUGGUUAAAUGGCUUUAAAGUAUACAAGUUCUGAUACAUCUCCUGGUUUAGUCUUCAUUGAACAUAUGAGCCUUGAUGAAUUCAAGUAUUGGUAAAAACACCUGAACCAGGGCUUGGAUCUGUGCGAAAUGAACUGAAACUGUUAUCAGGAUAUUCACAAACCUUUAUCAUUCAAUGGUAUACUUAGUUAUGUUUUAUGCUGCAGGAUGUUUUUGAGGUUUUGAGGACGCCCCUGAAAAUAAUGCUUUCCAGACUCAUGCCAUGAGGUCUUUUCUUGGAGUGAACAAAUGAACUUCUGAAGUGGAUAUGAGAUGUAGUCACAUCUUGUGAAGCAGAGAGGUGAACUGGUGAGACUGUGAAACCACUUUGUUCAGUUGUGAGAAGAAAAAAUAGCAAAAAAAAAAAUCUACUAUCAUGCACCCUAUUGGUCAAGAGUGGCUUGCUUGACUUUAAAUAACUUGCAGUAUAAUAAAAUGGCAAUCAAAUACAACACUAUUAAAGAUCUGUGAGUAACGAUGGAAAAAGGAAAUUAAUAAGGAGAUUAGAAAUUACAUUCAAAUGAAAAAUAAUUACUAUGGAGAACCAAAACUAAAAUGACAUUUUCUAAGUCAGUGUGUGUGUUGGAUGCUACUUUCCUACUGGCAUUUGAGGUAGAUGGGUAUAAAAGCAGUCCUCAAAAGCAUCAUUUGUAUCAUGCUGCUGCUGUUGUAGAGUUUUCAUUUUUUAUUACCCGACCCUUACUUUUUUUAUUUAUAAGAUCUCAUUGAAAGAUCCAGAUUUCUUUAGUUGUCUGAUGCUGAUAUGUUAAAUUGUGUUUUGCUUUUUGUUUUUUUAAAAAGGCUUUUGCUUUGGAGAAAUGUCUGCUCAACAGCUGAGACAAAGGACACUGUAUUCGAUACAUCGUGGUAUUUCCAUUACAAAAACUGAAUGCUUUCAAAUGUAAUCUUUUUAGAAUUACCGUUGUAGAAUUAUAUAUUAUGAUCCACCAUGUGGCCUUUCAGGUUACUACAAAGUGUUUUGUGCACCCAUAUGGGCUGGGGACCAGAAAGCUGCAAGGCAUUCAAAUAAACAAUCAAUCAAUCAAUCAAUCAAUCAAUCAAUCAAUCAAUCAAUCAAUCAAAUUAGUUGGUCAGGUUGGUUGAGAAAUAUUUAAUAGUAAAAUACAGUGAAUCUCUUUUCUACAUUAUCAAAUUAUUAUGACUAAACCCUUUCACACAACACCUUACCUGUAACUCCUAAAAAUAAAAAUUAUGCCUUACUAAGCUCUUCACAGUUCAGUCAUUACGAAUGCACAUAUAGGUACACAUUUGCACAUUGUACUAGCCUUGUGCAUGGCGCUAAGUGUUGCAGUGUACUGUAUAUAAUGUUUGUUUGUUCCUUUAGAUAGUUUCCAGCGUUGCUGUAGCAUGUAAAUUGUCCCUCCGGGGAGCAAUAAAAUCACAUUCAUUCUUGAAAA